UAGUGACGAUAAAUAACAAUGAUUCAAUGAUAACAAAAGUUUGAAUUUAAAUUGGAAUGAGAACAAUAUAAAUCCCUUAUCGAGUAACAAUUUCAGGGCAAGUUCUGGUGCCAGCAGCCGCGGUAAUCCAGCUGAAAAAGCGUAUACGAAUAUUGUUGCAGUUAAAACGCUCGUAGUUGGAAUAAAACAUGGUUUUCUAUUUUUUUAUUUUAAACGGUAAAAAAGUAUAGAAUAUCAUUUUUUAAUUUUAUAUAUCUCCUAAAAAAAGAUAUAUAGUGUUUACUUUUGAAUAAAUUAGAGUGCUUUAAGCAGAUUGAGAUUUAAAUUUUAAAUCUUUUUGAUGUUUGAAUAAUUUAGCAUAGAAUAAAAUAAAUAAGAUUUGAAAGAUAAGAUUUGGUAAUUAUGUAGCAAAUAAUGAUAAAUAGGAAUAGUUGGGGG
rnacentral:rRNA from 1 species